rnacentral:rRNA from 1 species
UACGAAGGGGGCUAGCGUUGCUCGGAAUCACUGGGCGUAAAGCGCACGUAGGCGGUUUCUUAAGUCAGGGGUGAAAUCCUGGAGCUCAACUCCAGAACUGCCUUUGAUACUGAAGAUCUUGAGUUCGGGAGAGGUGAGUGGAACUGCGAGUGUAGAGGUGAAAUUCGUAGAUAUUCGCAAGAACACCAGUGGCGAAGGCGGCUCACUGGCCCGAUACUGACGCUGAGGCACGAAAGCGUGGGGAGCAAACAGG